GAUUUUCAAAUAAAAAUAAUAGUAGUACGAAAUAUUCAAACAGAAUAAAGAAAAUUAUAAUUUAUUAGACGUACAAUGUAGGUACAUUAUACAUACAGACACACACAUACGCAUAUACUUAUACAUUACCCGUGCCAUAAUUCGUUUGCACGGGUAAAUUAUUUGAGAAUACCGAUAUGAAUUCGUACAAUUAAUAAAUUAGAGUAAAAAAGAAAGGAAUCAAAAGAUAAUCGCGGACGAACCAAAAUGAAACUCAUGUUUCUGUCAUGACCGUUAUUAUUAGUUUCAUUGUAAUUAUUGUUCGGGGUAAUAUUAUUUGUUUUAUCAAUAUUAUGGAAUUUGAUAUCUAUCGUUCACCGGAAGAUUCUCUUUUCAAUCAGCUUAUGAUUUACACAUUCAAUUAUCCCAGAAUGAUGAAUAGUCGAUAAUACUCGUACCAAAAGAUCGGAAAAAAGGGAAAAUUAUUUUUUUGAGAUCAAAAGUUAUGGAAUUAGUAUGAAUGAUUGAUUAGUUGUUUUGAAAUUAUCAUUAAGAUUAUCGUUAUCCUUAUCAUUAUCAUUAUCAUUAUCCUUAUCAUUAUCAUUAUCAUUAUCAUUAUCAUUAUCAUUAUCAUUAUUAUUAUUGUUGUUGGUGUUGUUGGUGUUGUUAUGAUUAUUAUUAUUUUUGUCAUUAUUAUUAUCGUUGUUCUUGUUGUUAUUAUACCAUUAUCACGUUCAUCAUCAUCAUCAUCAUCAUCAUGUCUGAGUAUCGAUACUUACAAAAAUCCGAAUUUACAUAUAUAAAUAUAAUAUGCAAUGCAAUAUAAAAAAGUACACGGUUCGAUUGAUAUUAAUUUAUUGUUUUAUGUAUGUACAUAUAGGUAUUAGAUAUCGUAGGUACAUUUAUACAUACUCAUAUAGUAUGCAUAUAUGCGUGUAUGUUGAAAUAUUAUAAUUCUUAUUAUUAUCAUCAUUACUAACAAAUAUUAUUAUUAUUUUCGGUCUCAUAUAUAGGUAUAUACCGUACAUAAGACUAUAUGAGCGAUUUUCGAGAUUCAAGAAAAUUAUAUUCAACAAAUGGAGAGAAUAAGAGAAAAUUCGCAUGCAGGAAAAUAAGCAGAAUAUUGAAAGAAAAAGAACUAAUAAUAUAGUAUGUAUACCGCCGGACAUGGAGCGACACUACGAUAUAUAAGUGAGUAAUAUGUUAUUAUUAUCAUCAAAGUAAUUAAUAAUUAAUUCACAGCGUUUAUUCAUAAGUAUAUAAAUCUAAGAAUACAUACAUACGUAAUAAAUAGGUACACGAUAGAUAAAUUAUUUGAUAAGUAAGUAAACAAAUAUAUACGUAUAGUGUACAUAUACAUAUAUAAAUAUGUAUAUGUAUAUACUAUAUAUGCCUAUAAUGCUCAAGCUAGUUUAAGACUAGUGCGGCUAGUCAAAAGAGGCUGCUAUAGAUAGAAACAAAAUGAUUGAUUACUGUUAAUGAUAAUGAUGAUAAGAAUGAUAAUAACGAAGAUAAUAAUAAUAACAACAAUUACAACAACAAGAUAAAUGGCAACAACAAGAAUGGCAGUAAAAUUACAUAAAAACCAUUUGAACAAUAAUAUAAUAAUAAACUAGUUAACCGUAACUGAUUUAUUAAACAGUAUAAUCCUACCAAAAGAUAUAUAUAUAUGCUUCCUUGGACUAUACAUGAUAUACAUAUGCCCAUAUACAUAUAUACAUCACUACCUACGAUAUACGUAUAUAAAUAUAUAUCUGACCUGAAACUUAAAAAUACCCUUCCCAUAUGUCAACCCAUGAUAAUUAUAAUAAUAACAAUAAUAAUAUUAAUUAUUAUAAUAUAUAGAGCAGCUAAAUUGCGCAGAAUAUUUUUUAGCCCUUGUUACAUACCUAUACAAUAAUUAUGAUGAUAAUUAUAAAAUUACACAUAUUAUAACAACGACGAUAAAGAUCGCGCUUACGUAUCUAUUGUAUAACCAUAUACAUAUGAAUAUACUAUAUUAUUAUAUCGUUACUAUUAUUAUUAUCUUUGAUUAACAUAUUAAUUAAUUAUCAUUAUUAUUAUUAUCAACGAUUGAAUUACUGUAUAUUAUAACUGAUUGUAAAUCGCUAGAAGAGAGAGAAAGAGAAAGAGAAAAGUGAUACAGAGUAUGUGUAGUAUAAAAAGUAAAAUGACACAAAAAUAUACGAACAAACGUGAACGAACAAUUAGAUAUUAUUAAAUUAUAUUCCGCGUCUAUUAUUUAAAAGACAAAAAUUGCUAAAGUGUAAUAAUUAAAUUUUGUCAUUGUUGUUAUUAUUAUUACUAUUAGUUCUAGUAUCAUUAUUACUGUACAACACUUUUUCAAAAUAUCCUACUCUAUAGAGAGAAUGAAAAAAACUCUAUACCACUUCACGUGUACUUAUACCACCAUUACCACACUAUUUAGUCAUACUGCUACUACUACUGCUACGACUAUUGAAAUUAAUUUGUACAUUACAUAAACACGAGCCGAUUUAUCGAUCAAUAAUUGCUGCGAGAUCGUUCACUCAAAAAGUCUUGAUGCGAUAUGAAAAACGUAAUUGAAACAAAUCGAAGAUAUUGCAAACAGAAUAAUUGAGAGAUGAAAAAAUAUGUUACAAUUUAAUAUACUCGUAAUAUAACGGUAAUAAUAAUAAUGAUGAUGAUGAUGAUAUUAAUAUAACAAUAUAUUAUUAAAUAAUAUGAUAAAGAUAAUAAUAUUAUUAUUGAUAGAAAUAUUAUGCGUGGUAAGCGAUAUUAAUUACUCUAUUAUACGAUUUCACAUGCGAUAAAAAAAUUAUAUAUAUAAAAUAAAAAUAUAUUAUAUAUUAUACAUUAUACAUAAUACAUAAUACAGGAAUAUAUAUAAUAUAAUAUAUAAUAAAUGCAAUAAUAUAUUUAUUGAAUAUUUAUUGAGCAAUAACACAUUUAAAGCAAAUCAAAUGAUGGAGAAAAAAGAAAAACCAAAACGCGAAAAGCGAAAAGAACAAAAAAAAAAAGGAUGUAGCAUAAUUAUUGUACAAAAGCGACGUGAAAUGAGAUCAUGUAGAAAAAGAAUAAAAUUAGAGAAACGACAAGGAUGGAAAAACUAAUCAAAGGGAUCGAACUUUUUGCAAAUAUCAAAUUUCCAGAGCGCGGCGACCACCGAUCCCAUCGUAAAAAAAGGUAACAUAUUGGAAUUAUAAAUUAUACAAUAAUUUGUACAACAUGGUGUCGUUGACUGAGGAUUUGUAAUCUCUGGUCAGCGGUCAUAUGAAGAGGAAAUUCGAAUGGCGCGAAAUAAAGUACACGUUGAAUUUAAAUUGAAAUUAUUCAAACGCUUUGGGAGUGAUCAUGACGAGUGGCGCCUGGUCUGUGCACACGCGCUGCUGUCCUGAGCUGCAGUCGUUGUGCAUACUGCAGUCGGUGAAUGCAGUGGUAAAAUAGUCCAGUGGUGCAGAUACUGUAACAAUGUCACAACUAUGGUGCAUGUGAAUUAAUGAACUGACAGGUAGCCCAGAAAUGUAUACACAGUGAUAUUUUUUAAUGUGAGUCUCGUUAAAAAUAUCGUCCGAAGCACACCUGUCAAAAGUUGUUCGACCUGAUAUUUAGGUUUGGUAGGCCCUAAUCUUCUAUGUGAUUGCAGAUAUUCUGAAGAUUUAGACUGACGACGGAAAUUCUACAGGACAAGAAAAUCACAACAUAGCUCGAGGAUCAUGCAAUAGCAUCAAGGAGUCUUGAAAACCCAAUUCGGAAUAUUCAAGUGAAACUCGAUAAAUGGAUACAAUAUUAUACUUAUAUUCGAUUGAUAAUUUAUGAAAAUGAUUUGGAACAUAUUUUACAAUCAGACAGUUCAACACGCAUUUUGUGAAUGAUAUGACCAAUCGUAUUCAUUACAGUGAUACAUUAUUAAAUAUAUGACGUGUUGAGUAUUAUAAAAAAUAUUUUCAUGCAUUCUACACCAAUGAUUUAUUGAAAAGUAUUGGCACCUCGUUUAUUUGGUUCUACGAUCUGGGAGUAAAUUCAACUGGGAAUAAAUCGCAUUGAGAUCUCUUGAAAUUUUGGUCCGUAAAACGCCAAUUUAUCUCUUGGAUCAUGGAUACAUAUGUUUAACUGCGAUUCGAAUAACAUUCGUCAUUAAUUUUUAUUUUUCGUAUAAAACAUCAAAUUGAUUCUUUGUAUGCCUUUAUUCAUGUUAUUAUAUAAUGAUUAAUGAUACGGACAAUAAUUAAUGAUAUAGUGACUGACUACAGUAACUAGUGACAUUAAAACGCUCCGUAAAACGCCAAUUUAUCUCUUGGAUCAUGGAUACAUAUGUUUAACUGCGAUUCGUUCAUGAAUCGGUACAUCUCCAGUAACCCCUUCUGAAACCAGAUAAUAUUCAACCAAAGUAAGACCAUCUCAGAUUCCAUCCCGAUUUUUCCCUAAACUUUUCCUAUUUAUACCGACUUUUCAAUUGAUUUUUGAAUUCACCAUCUUCCAAGCCCCUAAAGGCGCCUGAUGUUAUGCGCAUGCGCACUUUUCAACGAAGAUACAAGUAGCGCCAAUUCUCGAAAUUUGUGUUGCGGAAUCGGCGCGAACUAAAAUUCCAGGUUUCUUGCCCCUUGACGUCAGAUCACCCGCAUUGCAGCGAAGUGGUCGGUGUAAUGCGGGUGCAUAUAUCAUCAGGCGCUUUCGAGGGGCAUGGAAGGUAGGGUGAUUGAAUAAUUCAUUGAGAAAUUGGAAAAAUAGGAGAGAAUUGCUGACAGUUCGUAGAAGGUAAUUGCAUUCUUGGUCUCGAAAUGGAAAACACUCAGAGGAUCAGAGGCUACAGUUUCCAGACAUUUGCGAUUGUUGGGGCUGGACAAUGAACCCAAGCAACAGUGAAGCUAUGUGUCAGUUUUAUUUCAAUAUGGAUACAGCGUCUCAAUGGCAAAUGCAGAAGAAUCGGUAUACCGAAUUUCCCAGGUGAUUGAUGACACUGUUUGUUGGCAGCUAAGGUGAUUAAAUAGUUCAUGAGGAAAUUGGAAAAAUAGGAGAGAAUUGCUGACAGUUCGUAGGAGGUAAUUGCAUUCUUGGUCUCCCAAUGGAAAACAGUCAGAGGAUCAGAGGCUACAGUUUCCAGACAUUUGCGAUUGUUGGGGCUGGACAAUGAACCCAAGCAACAGUGAAGCUACGUGUCAGUUUUAUUUGAAUAUGGAUACAGCGUCUCAAUGGAAAAUGCAGAAACAAAUGCUGUUCUUUGACAGAACUAUGGCCAUUGCACGCUAUGGCCAUUUUGU